rnacentral:rRNA from 1 species
UCCCACCCGUGUUGCCCGAACCUAUGUUGCCUCGGCGGGCCCCGCGCCCGCCGACGGCCCCCCUGAACGCUGUCUGAAGUUGCAGUCUGAGACCUAUAACGAAAUUAGUUAAAACUUUCAACAACGGAUCUCUUGGUUCCGGCAUCGAUGAAGAACGCAGCGAAAUGCGAUAACUAAUGUGAAUUGCAGAAUUCAGUGAAUCAUCGAGUCUUUGAACGCACAUUGCGCCCUCUGGUAUUCCGGAGGGCAUGCCUGUCCGAGCGUCAUUGCUGCCCUCAAGCCCGGCUUGUGUGUUGGGCCCCGUCCCCCCCGCCGGGGGGACGGGCCCGAAAGGCAGCGGCGGCACCGCGUCCGGUCCUCGAGCGUAUGGGGCUUCGUCACCCGCUCUAGUAGGCCCGGCCGGCGCCAGCCGACCCCCAACCUUUAAUUAUCUCAGGUUGACCUCGGAUCAGGUAGGGAUACCCGCUGAACUUAAGCAUAUCAAUAAGCGGGA